AGUUCGCUGAGUUUACAAUAAACGACUCGCUGAGCCCAGCCAGCGACUCACUGGGACGUACUCCAACUUAUUUUGCCCUAAAGUAUUAAAAGGCAACAUGCACGUGUUUCAAUACAACUUUCAGCCCUUGAUUCAUCAUAUUUUCAUCAAAGAGCAAGGAGAGAGCUAUUGUGAAGACCUUAAUCAUCAAGACGGAGAAUUUCCAUCGCCCAAUUCAUCUCUGGGAUAUUUAGUGUGUAGAAGAAAUCGCCAGAUCCAGGAAGGAAGGAAGAAAAUCAACUGGCAAAGGAGUUUGGCGAGAAAGUGAGCAGAAAAGGAAAAAAAAUGUCAGACGGAGGAGAUUGCUAGAUGGAGGGCAAAGAAGGGAAUUCAAGAAGAUUCUAGAAGAUCACCUCAACGUCUAUAAAUAAAGAGCACGCAAUACACAUGGACAUAUCAUCUCUCACAUUUUGCUCUUAGCUCAUCUUUUCACACACUUCUACACAUACACUUGGGGGAUAUCGGAAAUUCAUGGUGUUGGAGUUCGUUUUUUGAUUUGGUGUUGUGUACCACCUUCUCCACGUGAGGCGAAGAAACAAUUUACCGCUUUCGUUUAAAUUUCUGCUCUAAAUUUCCCCGAGUCUUCACUGUGCAAAGCUCGACGUUUAUUUUGUUGUUGGAACCUUGUUGAAUUCUGAAUCGUUUAGCUAUGGAAGUUUAUAUACUGUUUUCGUUUUA